GUUGGCACAUGAAUUAAGAACUCUGUCGAUUAAGAAACAUGGCCCUGUCACAGGUAUAAUAGUGACCUUAGCACGAAUAUCUGUGAGCAAUGAUUUGAAACAUGACAUGAAUACAUGAUGAAAAUGAUUUACGAUUCAUAAUUGUGAAAUAUACAUGACUUAUGCAUGCAUGAUGAGCUUAUAACUUGUUUUAUUAUAUGCUCUAUGAAAUAUUUAUUUUUGCAAUAAUUGUUAUUUGCUAAAUGAUGCAUUAUUAUAGAAAACUUAUGCUUGAUCCGGUAAGGAAGCAGAAGUCUACUUACUGAGCUAGUGUAGCUCAUAUUCUUUUUAUUUUCUUUUUCAUGUACAGAGAAAUAAGGCUAGGACCGAAGAAAAGGGAAUCCAGGCUUGGGGAUCAGCAAAGCAAGUUUAGAAAUUUUGCUCUAGGGAUUCAGUUUAUGUUUAUGGAUUGUAGUCAUUAUGAAUUUUAAGACUUGGAUUAUUUUAUCUCUGGAUUUAGAUGCUCUGAACCAG
rnacentral:lncRNA from 1 species